rnacentral:rRNA from 1 species
UACGGAGGGUGCAAGCGUUAUCCGGAUUCACUGGGUUUAAAGGGUGCGUAGGCGGAUUUGUAAGUCCGUGGUGAAAUCUCCGAGCUUAACUCGGAAACUACCAUGGAUACUAUAAGUCUUGAAUGUUGUGGAGGUUUGCGGAAUAUGUCAUGUAGCGGUGAAAUGCUUAGAUAUGACAUAGAACACCGAUUGCGAAGGCAGCAGGCUACACAAAUAUUGACGCUGAGGCACGAAAGCGUGGGGAUCAAACAGGA